UGUCUUGUCGUUUGCGGAAUAAGAGUGGAAUUGGUAACUUGACAAACGUCUCACUAUUAAAGUUAGCUCUCUCUUUCUGUCAUACAGACAAAAAAUAAACCUUUAACUUCUCAUUUCAUGUGGAAAAUAAGGCCAACGGUUUAACUCGUCAUAUUAGCUUAAGUACCAACGGCAGCUACUGUUAGCGGAAGUUAGCUUUCAUCUAAAGAUCAGGGUGGGCUCUAUGGGUGGGCUCGAGCACCAUAGAGAGCUGCUCAUCGAUAGAGAUGACAGGAAGACACUUCCCUCCUGUCUCUGUUAAAAUGGUCUUUAUCCAUCACCAUGAACUGACUGCUUCCGCUUUAGAAGAGUUUGAUUGGAAAGAUCUAGAAGAAAGAAGUUAACCGAGCAGCAGUCCUGACGUCCUGGAUUUCAACAAUUCAGAGACAGUUUGGCUCCCGGAUUUCUGCCUGGUUCCUUAUGGUGGACAACUGGGCCAGAAACUCAUCACUGCUGGUCUGUCUCAGUGUGAUCUGUCUGAAACCACGGGCUGAGAGCUGAGAGCUGAGAGUGUGGACCCCCAUGAAGGAAGCUUUCUGGAAGUUCCCAACAGCAGCCCCACAACACCAAAGUUGGAGUGGGAGACACUGUAGUGCAGAGCUGUGUUGCCGUUGCCAUCCGUCAUAUUGACCACGUGCUCCAGCAGAACUGGCGACACUUCAGAGAACGCCAUCAGGUAGUCUGAGACCCGCGGAGGCUGAGCCAUCUUGGCGCUGGAGAUUCGAAACCACUCAAGCUGGACGGUGUGGGUGCUGGAGAGCUGAAGCGUCAGAGGAAUAAUUCGAAGCUUUCAGGGACUCCUCGUCCGUGUCACUCUCGUCCAGGUUGACAUUUCUCUCCUCUUCGGAUGUUUCUUCCUCCAGAGCUGCCUCAUCCUCCUCGGUGCUGUCCAAGCACUCGCCUUCUCCACUCUCACCAGAAGAACUCCCAUCGUCAUCCUCCUCUUCUUCCUCCUCCUCUUCCUCCUCUUCUUCACUUGAUGUAGAUUCAUAUCUGGGAGACAGACACAAAUGUUGUUGUUUUUUGUUUCUGACAAGUGAGAGACAUGACAAUACAUUCAACCAAUAUACAACAUAUAAAUAAAUACAAAUAUGUGUUCGUGUGUGAAUGUGUGUGUGUGUGUGUGUGUGUGUGUGUGUGUGAAUGUGUGUGUGUGUGUGUCUUGUAUGUUUAAGGGUAGCAAAUAGGACAGUUGUUUGGGUGUAACCACCUUUAAGUUCAGAUUUCUACAGGCCCUGUAUUUCUGAUUGUAAUGAUAUGUUUUGAUUCUUACUUGUCAAACCUGUGACAUGAUCAAAGAGUUAUUCCAACCUCUGAACUUUAUGACGCUUGUAUUUUAUUUCCACAGUGGGAAAAAGUAAAAUAAGGAUUCAUGUUUCUUACCCUCCGUUUAGAAUCCCAACAAACUGCAGGCUCUUCUUUCCAGCGGAGCGAGUCUCACUGGAGUUACUCCCAUCCUUCCUCUUCAUGAUUGAUUUCAGCAUACCUGUUACCAAACCAACAGCAACAGGAUCAGACUAGAGUUCAAACAACGUACACUAAUAAAACAUCUAACUCACCCAGGACACAUUA